UCGUCGCCCAUGACCACUCGCUGGAGCUUCUCAACGCCGGCGACAGCCACUGUAGAACCGGCCAUGGCAGAGCAGGGAGCACAGUGCACCCGUGUGCUUGUGCCAUCGCCCUCCCGUGCCCUGUGCUUGGCCUCUUGCCCUCACUAUGACCGCGUGAGCCCCUCGACCUCUCCCAUCCGCUCUGAGCCCCACUCGUCGCCGCUCCAGAGACUUCUCCGGCGACCUCGAACCCCGUCUCGGCCGCGCCUAUAUAUAGGAGCCCUCCGAGCUCGUCCAGCCACACCACCCACCUUCUCUGAUCUCCACACUUCUUGUAGAAGGCCACGGCCAGGCCAGGCGGGCCUCUGGCCGCCGUUUCGCAUCGGAGAUCGCCGCCGAUCCCCUCUCGGUGCCCUACUUCCUCCGACGCUCCUCGAUGUCUUCCACCUCCUCUGGCGUGUUCGUGGUGUUCUCCUAGUCGUGUUGGUGCUGCUGGAGCUGCCGGAAUGCCCCUACCUUGCCAGAAUCCUCAACUCCGACGAACCGCCUUCACCGACGCCUCUGGAGACGACCACCACGAUGCUGUCCUCCACCUCUGACUGAGCUAUUGAGGGAACUUGCUGCCUUGAGGAGAACCAGGAGGAGUGUGAACCUCCUCUGCACUAAGGCAAGCCAUCACAAAUAUUUGCAAGAGUGUCAUUUCAAUAAGGAACUUGUUGCCUUGAGGAGAACCAGGAGGAGUGUGAACCUCCUCUGCACUAAGGCAAGCCAUCACAAAUAUUUGCAAGAGUGUCAUUUCAAUAAUUUCAGGAGAAGUCAUACCGUAGUUGGAGUUGCAUCGUUGCAUCGCAGUCUAGACCGUGUCCACAUCGGUGUCCUUGUGAGAUGGAGUUCCUCUACGUCGUCGUUCCGCUGCCGCGUAGCUUUAUUGUCGUGCUCGAGGUCCCUAUCAUGUUCAUUAAAUAAUGUACAUAUGUGCAACAGCACCGUGUGUGCCGCUUGGCCUCGCUAUCUGAUGUACUAUCAAACCUAUGCUUCAAUAAAGUGGUUGUCUUUCUGUACCAAGUUAUUGUGUGUUGCCAGA